AUUAAACAAUAGAUCAGAUCUAUUACCUUGUGAUUUAGAUGCUCUAACCUCGUUGAUCUGGGCUUAAGGAUGAUGUUGCAAGCCGCACAUGCGUCCGGCCUCUAAGAGUCGUCCACACAAGCCCACGAAUCUCGAUCAGAAGUCCUGCUUCAGAAAAUCAGCACAGUAUGCUAGUACUGCGCUGAUCCUUCUUUGAUGGUUGAUCAGGU
rnacentral:lncRNA from 1 species